ACUGCUCAGUAACACGUAGUCAACAUGCCCAAGGGACGUGGAUAACCUCGGGAAACUGAGGAUAAACCGCGAUAGGUCAAGAUUUCUGGAAUGGAUCAUGGCUGAAAUCUAUAUGGCCCUUGGAUUGGACUGCGGCCGAUCAGGCUGUUGGUGAGGUAAUGGCCCACCAAACCUAUAACCGGUACGGGCUCUGAGAGGAGGAGCCCGGAGAUGGGCACUGAGACAAGGGCCCAGGCCCUAUGGGGCGCAGCAGGCGCGAAACCUCUGCAAUAGGCGAAAGCUUGACAGGGUUACUCUGAGUGACUUCCGCUAAGGGAGUCUUUUGGCACCUCUAAAAAUGGUGCAGAAUAAGGGGUGGGCAAGUCUGGUGUCAGCCGCCGCGGUAAUACCAGCACCCCGAGUGGUCGGGACGAUUAUUGGGCCUAAAGCAUCCGUAGCCGGUUCUGCAAGUCUCCCGUUAAAUCCACCUGCUCAACAGAUGGGCUGCGGGGGAUACUACAGGGCUAGGAGGCGGGAGAGGCAAGCGGUACUCAGUGGGUAGGGGUAAAAUCCUUUGAUCCACUGAAGACCACCAGUGGCGAAGGCGGCUUGCCAGAACGCGCUCGACGGUGAGGGAUGAAAGCUGGGGGAGCAAACCGGAUUAGAUACCCGGGUAGUCCCAGCUGUAAACGAUGCAGACUCGGUGAUGCAUUGGCUUCUUGCCAAUGCAGUGCCGCAGGGAAGCCGUUAAGUCUGCCGCCUGGGAAGUACGGUCGCAAGAUUGAAACUUAAAGGAAUUGGCGGGGGAGCAC
rnacentral:rRNA from 1 species